rnacentral:piRNA from 1 species
CUAGGGAAAACACUGACGAAUGGUC